UACGUAGGGUGCGAGCGUUGUCCGGAAUUAUUGGGCGUAAAGAGCUUGUAGGCGGUUUGUCGCGUCUGCUGUGAAAUUCCAGGGCUUAACCCUGGGCUUGCAGUGGGUACGGGCAGACUAGAGUGUGGUAGGGGAGACUGGAAUUCCUGGUGUAGCGGUGAAAUGCGCAGAUAUCAGGAGGAACACCGAUGGCGAAGGCAGGUCUCUGGGCCACUACUGACGCUGAGAAGCGAAAGCAUGGGGAGCGAACAGG
rnacentral:rRNA from 1 species